CGGUCGGAUAGCCGCGUCACGGAAGGUAAAAUCCGCUGAUGAGGAAAGUCCGGGCUUCAUGGAAACAAGACACCGGAUAACGUCCGGCUGGAGAAAUCCAAGGGAAAGUACCGCAGAAAAUUACCGCCGGAGUGCGCUCCGGUAAGGUUGAAAAGGCGAGGUAAGAGCUCACCGCAAAACCGGUAACGGUUUUGGCCAAGGCAAACCCUGUCUGAAGCAAGACCAAGUUAGGAGGGCCGUUCGACAGAACGGUUAUAGGGAGCGUUUCCACUCUUCUCCAGAGGUAGGUCGCACUGAGCAGUUCCGGCAACGGACUGCCAAGAUGAAUGGCUAUCAAUCCAGGCCUUUGCCGCAAGGCAAAGAUAGCGGGAUACAGAACCCGGCUUACAGACUGCCUGU
rnacentral:RNase_P_RNA from 1 species